rnacentral:rRNA from 1 species
CCUACGGGUGGCAGCAGUGGGGGAUAUUGGACAAUGGGGGAAACCCUGAUCCAGCGACGCCGCGUGAGUGAAGAAGUAUUUCGGUAUGUAAAGCUCUAUCAGCAGGGAAGAAAGAAACGACGGUACCUGAGUAAGACGCCCCGGCUACCUACGUGCCAGCAGCCGCGGUAAUACGUAGGGGGCAAGCGUUAUCCGGAAUUACUGGGGGUAAAGGCAGCGUAGACGGUAAUGCAAGUCUGUAGUGCAAGGCGGGGGCCCACCCCCCGGACUGCUCUGGAAACUGUGUGACUGGAGUGCAGGAGAGGCAGGCGGAAUUCCUAGUGUAGCGGUGAAAUGCGUAGAUAUUAGGAGGAACACCAGUGGCGAAGGCGGCCUGCUGGACUGUAACUGACGUUGAGGCUCGAAAGCGUGGGGAGCAAACAGGAUUAGAUACCCGGGUAGUC